rnacentral:misc_RNA from 1 species
GCCGGAGCUCCGACGAUCGAGCUGAGAAUUGCCCAUCGUUCGAAGGCGGAGCUCCGAGGGGAAGCUGUAAAGGAGAAAGAAAAUGGCGGGAUCGUUAGUUGGUGGCGCGGCAUUGGGUGUUCCAUUUAACGAGUUGGCAGUCAUCUUGAAGAAUUUUGGCGAAAGGGCGAUCAGUUUUAAUCCUGUUCUUAAGGAGACCCAAUCCAAGGUAAGUGAUAUAAUUCCUCUGGUUAAAGAAAUAGAUGAGCUUAAUGAAGCCCUGGAGUAUCCAAAAGAAGAAACGGAGAAGUUAAGAAACCUAUUAGAAGAUGCUAAAAAGCUACUUCUUCGGUGUGUAAGAUUGAGGAAGCUUGAUUAUAUAAGGAAAUCAACUCACACAGAGAAGCUUCGUG